rnacentral:rRNA from 1 species
AAGGAAUAUUGGACAAUGGACGCAAGUCUGAUCCAGCCAUGCCGCGUGAAGGAUGACUGCCCUCUGGGUUGUAAACUUCUUUUAUAGGGGAAGAAAGUUAUUUUUUUUAGGAUAUUUGACGGUACCCUAUGAAUAAGCACCGGCUAACUCCGUGCCAGCAGCCGCGGUAAUACGGAGGGUGCAAGCGUUAUCCGGAUUCACUGGGUUUAAAGGGUGCGUAGGCGGGUAUGUAAGUCAGUGGUGAAAUACCGGAGCUUAACUUCGGAACUGCCAUUGAUACUAUAUAUCUUGAAUAUUGUGGAGGUAAGCGGAAUAUGUCAUGUAGCGGUGAAAUGCUUAGAGAUGACAUAGAACACCGAUUGCGAAGGCAGCUUGCUACGCAAAUAUUGACGCUGAGGCACGAAAGCGUGGGGAUCAAAC